rnacentral:rRNA from 1 species
CGGCAACAGCUCAAAUUUAAAAUCUGGCCUUUUCGGGGGUCCGAGUUGUAAUUUGUAGAGGACGUUUCGGGCAAGGCUGCGGUUUAAAUCCCUUGGAACAGGGUGUCAGAGAGGGUGAGAGUCCCGUCUUUAGCCGUGCGCCGCGCCCGGGUGAAACUCCUUCGAC